rnacentral:sRNA from 1 species
UAGUACACAAUGCUGAUUGUUUAUCCACAUUGAGCUCUGUAUCAAUAUGUGACCUCCCAGACUGGGGGACUACCAGGUUGCCUAAGAAAGGAUUAACCAGUUCAGGUCAGAAAUAUAAACAGGUCAAAACUGGCAUGCUAAUCA